ensembl:lncRNA
CAAAAAAAAUGUUUGUCUUACAGGAGCACCACUCUUCACCCCACCGGAGGUCAUAAGGCACAGCAAAUACCACGCUGACCCAGCGUAUGUCUGGGCAAUAGGUGUUGUGCUGUUUGAAAUCUUGCACGGGUUUUUGCCAUUUGGAAACCAAGACGAAAUACUGCGUGACUAUGUUAAAGCAAAACCCACUUUAUCCUCAGGUAAACAUGACAGACACCUCUUUACAGACAAAACAGUUAUGUCAGACAGGAAGUCUAGCAAGUAACAAAUGUUUACCAACAUGACUGUAGACCAUUGUUAUUUAAUUGGGGAUAUUUAGAUCAUCUAAUACUGAAAUUUUAAUUGGUAAAACAUUUACUGUUCAGAAGCUUUUUCAUGUUAACAUUGAUGUUAAGACUAACCCGCACUCUCACUCUGAAAUCUUUACAGCAUGCCAUGACCUGAUUUUCCAGUGUUUGAUCCGCAAUCCAGCGAACAGACUGACGCUAGAGCAUCUAGAAGAGCACAGGUGGUUUAAGAGCUAGAUUGGCAGAAGACAGCGGAUCCCAUGCAUCAGUUAGAUGAGAAAAGGUAGUGAAACACUCUCAGUCCCUCUCAUCGGAAGAGUCAAACUUCUUUAUAGUUCAACUGUAAUUUGCACUGGCAUAUUGUAAGAGGUGAUACAGAGAUUCAUCACAUACCUUACGUAAUAUAGUGAUGAAAACAAAUGAACAAAAUCCAUAUACAGAGGCUUUCUGCUACAAAAGAGAGAUCCCUCUCCAUCUGUGCCUUGCGGACCAGAAGACAAACUUAAUGAACCCAUCAUUCAAUCUCCAAUCUCAACCUCUGUGGCAGAUCCAUCCAGUUCUGACCCGGGUGACGAAAAGGGAGGAAGAGGAAGACAGUCAGUGCUUUCUUCUGGAGAUUCUGUAAAGCCGUAAAGCACUUCUUCCUGUGCCGCGACUCGAACAGAGUCCAGAAUCUUACACCACAGCUGGAUCUAGACGAUUCUGAGCCAAUACCUGUCCAAGUUCCAGUGUUGGGAAGGAUACUUUGGAAAUCUAAUAUAUUACAGAUUACAAGUUACCCUACUUCAAAUGUAAUAAGUAGUGUAACCUUUCAAUUACUUCAUUAAAGUAAUGUAACUGAUUACAUUUGAUUACUUUUCUAAAUGUCUAAUGUUUUCAACUGUUAACUAGGCAGAGUUAAACUUACAAUAUGUGCUCAACACUGAUAACUGUCAGACUCAAUCCCCCAAAAACCUAAACCGUCUCAAUUAUAAAGCCAUUUUGUUUUUGGAGUGAAUACCAGUGCUCUCUUUUACCUUCAAUACCACGACUGAGGUGAGACCCUUGAGCAAGCCACUAAACCCCAACUUUGUUGGUGUGUGUGUUUUUACGGUGUGUGUGUGCACUUGGAUGGGUUAAAUGCAGAGCACAAAUUCAGAGUACUGGACACCAUACUUGGCCAAAACGUCACUUCACUUCACUUUCACUAAAUUCAUUUAUGUCUGGCUUCGCAAAUCAUUUUACUCCAGACUGUUUUCUGAAUGAGGUUCAAUUCAUGGGAGGUUUUGUUGAAAAAAGUUAAAACUCAAGGAUGGAUCAGUACCCCUUUUUCAUGAUCCAUCUGCACCUCCAGU